rnacentral:rRNA from 1 species
GAUGAACGCUGGCGGCGUGCCUAAUACAUGCAAGUCGAGCGAACGGACGAGAAGCUUGCUUCUCUGAUGUUAGCGGCGGACGGGUGAGUAACACGUGGAUAACCUACCUAUAAGACUGGGAUAACUUCGGGAAACCGGAGCUAAUACCGGAUAAUAUUUUGAACCGCAUGGUUCAAAAGUGAAAGACGGUCUUGCUGUCACUUAUAGAUGGAUCCGCGCUGCAUUAGCUAGUUGGUAAGGUAACGGCUUACCAAGGCAACGAUGCAUAGCCGACCUGAGAGGGUGAUCGGCCACACUGGAACUGAGACGCGGUCCAGACUCCUACGGGAGGCAGCAGUAGGGAAUCUUCGGCAAUGGGCGAAAGCCUGACGGAGCCACGCCGCGUGAGUGAUGAAGGUCUUCGGAUCGUAAAACUCUGUUAUUAGGGAAGAACAUAUGUGUAAGUAACUGUGCACAUCUUGACGGUACCUAAUCAGAAAGCAACGGCUAACUACGUG